ensembl:lncRNA
GGCAUGUUAAAAUAGAUGAACAGGAAAUGAUUUCUGACCAGAAGGGGCCUGUGGUGCAGCCAACCAGGUAGCAACAAAAGGCUCCUCCUAGUUCUGACCCUUCCCACACCUAAAACAUGUCCUACAAGUCUGAGUGAGACCCAACAUGUUGAGCAUCUUGCCACUGUAUCCUUACCCCUCCUUUCCCAAAUCUAUAUAAACCCUGUUCACCCCCAAGAUGGGGCUGAUCACUUUGUGGAGAAGUCCCCCAUCAGUCUGGUAGUGAAAUAAACCUGCCUCCAACUUCCAGGAUGUGUACUUGAUUCUUCUUGGCUUGACUCUGUUAUACUACCUAGAGCUACAACACUGCAACUUAUAUUUGCUACAAUAUCUUGGUGCUUUGGCAGGGAAAAAUCGACAGUGCUAAGUUUAAAAUCACUGGUGAAGCCCUUGUGGAAGGAGUGAAGAUCCCCCACCCCCACCCUGCACCCCAGAUGGACGAGAGGCAUGCCUCCAGAUUUUUCUGAGUCUCCUUGGAGGAGUGGGGGUGGACUGCUCAUUCUACUGCUUGUGGCUCCCCUGGACCCAGAAGGAAAGAGGACGCAGGUCUGGUUUAAUCCAACCUCAUCAUCAGAUAAGGCUCUUCCUGCCAGCCCAUGAGGACAAAGUCCCUAAGGAAGCAGUAUUGAAAUGCUUUGCCUCUGAAGGUUUGACAGGUAAAAAUAUGUAAAUGAAUGUAAUGGGAAAAGUAAUCUAUAGGCUGUCCCAACAGGAAUUCAACUACUAAAACAACCAUGGUUGAUAAAAAAAUAACAAUCCUCUAACUAUACUUUAUAUUUCAAAAGUGCUUAACGUUCAACAAAAUUAUAAUAGUGACCUUUUCUUCUGGGUGUUCAACUAAGGUUUGGAGACCAAAACUAAAAUGGUAACUGGGCUAUAAGGACAGCUAAUAUUUUGGCCCUAGCCCCUCAAGGUUAACAAAGAUCCAGGACACAAAGGAACCUUUUCUACAGGAUCCUUCAUCUUUGAGGCUGCCAAACUCCAAAUGGUCAUACAAAUGGAACCAAAGACAAAUGUGCUGGACUUCUUUUACCAGAAUCCACCAGAUGGACCUUAUAAAAAGUUCAUAACUGCUAAACUACAAUUCUGAAGUCACCUGGGCCUUCUUCUUAUCCUCUUUAUGGAAGGCUAUUACUAAUUCUUCUUGACUUAAAGCUACCCAAGAUGACAAUGGCUAGUGCCUGUUGAGGGCCUUUAGAUAGACCCUCUAUAGAGUAUCUCUGACUGCUGAACAGAACUACAACCUCUUCAGCCAGAAAUAGCCAGAAUGUUCUUCACCCCUUGCCCUCUCAUGGCAGUUCGGGAUACUUUGUCAGAGAGGGGAUAUUAUAGAUAGACAGUUAGACAUUUAGGGUCCCCUUCAAGGCACCAGCCCUCAAGGCCCCAGUCCUCAAGAUGCCAGCCCUCCAAGAGCCAACACAGCGAGGAGGCAACAGGGAGAAGAGUUGAGGCACAUUCACCGGUUCCACCAAGAUUAUUGUAUGGGGCUGUUAAAGUUUCAGAGAUCCAGUCAUGGAUUCGUCACUCUUGAAUCAAAAAGGCCCAUCACGAUGACUCUUGGGAGGCCCACACUGAUGAAACAACUCCAUUAACAAUAACACUGAGGAGACAACAUACUCAAAGCCCUGUUCCUGUCACUCCAGACACUGGCAGGCCAACAGAUGGCUGAAGCCUGUCUGAGGACCUCAACCCAUGAACCACUGCCACGCUUUCCAGACUUGGUCUCCCUGGCAUCUUUAUUCUUGCUUACCUCAUCAUGACUACCUUUAUUCUUGACAUAGGCCUAAUAACUGUUACUCCAGAGGACUGGAAUACUUUCCAAAGAUGUUUCCUCUUAGCUAUAUGCUGGGGUUUUAUGGUGACAUUUGCUAUCCUAUCUUGUCUAGAUUGACUCAGAAAAUCCCUGAGAACUGGUGGGGUGUCUUAGGUGACUGGAAGACAUGGUUAGGGGCUUUAUUAGGAUCUCUCUUUGGUAUCUUCAUGUUAUUAACAAUCAAUCUGUGCUUUAUAAACUGGUUCAUAUACUUUAUUUCUCAAUGCCUUAACACCAUUAAGAUCCAAAAAUCAUACUAAUAGAUGGUGACUUCAAGGUCUGAUGUGUACCCUUACACAUGUAAAAACAUAAACCAGCAAAGAAGUUGAAGAUUCAGCUAUAAUCAAAAAGAGGAGGGAAUGAGCAGGAUAUGAUUUCUGACCAGAAGGAGCCUGUGCUGCGGCUAACCAGAUAGCAACAAAAGGCUCCUCCUACUUCUGACCCCUCCCACACCUAAAACAUGUCCUGCAAGUCUGAGUGAGACCUGGACAUGUUUUCCUCCAGUGUCCUUUGUUCUCAGUAGGGUUUCUGUGACUCACGAUAUGUAAAUAAAGUGAAUCCUAGUGUACCUUUCUAUCCAAUUUCAUAAGUUGAACGUGUCUACCUCAAACAAUGAACUAAUGUUGAGUGUCAUGCCACUGUAUCCUUACCCCUCCUUUCCCAAAUCUAUAUAAAUCCUGUUCACCCCCAAGAUGGAGCUGAUAAUUUUGUGGAGAAGUUUCCCAUCAGUCUGCUAGUGAAAUAAACCUGCCUCCAACUUCCAGGAUGUGUGCUUGAUUCUUCUUGGCCCGACUCUCUUAUACUAUUUAGAGCUACAAUACUGCAAGUUAUAUUUGCUACAAUAUAGGAAGAUAGGUUAGGAAAUCUGAGAUAACACUUUCAGCCUUCAGAGAUCAAACCUUAAUAAAAAGAAAGUUUAUGAUUCUCAAAAAUAAUUUGAUUCCAUGUAAAUAGAAUACAAUUAAAGCAACACAAGAAGCAAUAUCCAGCUAAAUUAUAGAAUAGUUUGAUUCGAAUUGGCACAAUAAUGACCUAAAAGAAGAAUGGGAAAGCUGCUUUGGAAGCAUAAGUAUUGUUUACCUCGCCUCUCUAAUCCUUCUCUACACACAAUUUCUAAUAUGCUAUAAAGACGUACAAGACAUGUAAAAAGCAAAUAAAAUAUGCCUCAUUUUUAGGAAAGUAGCCCCCAGAACCAGAAUCAUAGGUUGCUCAAGUUUAGAAUUAUUAAUGACUGGGAGAAAAUUUGCACAGCAUAUAUGAACAGUUGGGAGAGUUAGGCAAAGAGAAAGUGUAUUAGACAGUUUUCCCAUCUCUGGGACAAACCACCUGAUACCUUCCACUUAAAGGAGAAAAGUCAGCUCAAACAGUGUUGUGUAGGGA